CAAAAUCUUCUUUGUACAGGGUGGUGAGCCGCCUGCCAGUGGAGGACAGCACCCCUCAGCACCACCCACCCUCGUUCAGAGCACACCGUGAGCCCUCUUCGGCCAUUCUGUGGUGUUUUAAUAUUGCGAUGGUUUAUGGGAUGUUUUAAGUGUUGUUCUUGUGUUUGUUUUCCUUUGACUUUCUGAGUUUUUCACAUGCAUUAACUUGCGGUAUUUUUCUGUUAAAAUGUUAACCGUCCUUCCCCUAGCAAAUUUAAAAACAGAAAGACAAUGUUGUACCAGUUACCAUUCCAGGUUUGAGCAUCACAAGCUUUUGAGCGCAUGGAACUCCAUAAACUAACAAAUUACAUAAACUAAAGGGGGAUUUUCUUUCUUCUUUUGUUUGGUAGAAAAUUAUCCUUUUCUAAAAACUGAACAAUGGCACAAUUGUUUGCUAUGCGCACCCGUCCAGGACUGAACCAUGCAUAGGCAAAACGAGUGGAGCACAGCGUCCAGCCCAGUGUGUUUCCAGUUCUGAGUCAGGGUGAUCUGUGGACGGGACCCCAGCACCAGGUCUACGGGUGCCAGAUCAGUAGGGCCUGUGAUCUCCUGUCAGUGUCCUCAGCUAAUGUGAACAGUGUUGGUCUGCUGGUUAGAAACUAGAAUAAUGAUAUUUUCAGGAAAGAAAUCAGCUCAGCUCUCCACUCAUUGCCAAAUGUCACCCAAAAAGGGUUUAGUUUUAAGGAGAAAGAAAAGGAAAAAAAAAAAAAGUCCUGUUUUGCUUUGCAGAACAAAUGAACUUACAGGUGAGCAUUAAGCUUGCAGUGAGAAAUGUGCAAAGAGUAAAAACCCAAGUCAAUGCUGAGGCAGUUCCAACUUCACUGUUUUCCUAAAUACACAUCCUUGAUUAUUUUCAGCCUUGCUAUAUAAUCUGAUCUGCUAGAAGUGUAUGAGUGAGAGGCAAUAGCAUAUAAACUGAUUUUUUAAAUAUAAGCUUAGGUUGUAAUUGUACAAGCGACUCAAUGGAAGUACAAAAUAGGGCAGUUUUAACUUUUUUUUCUGCUUCUGUGGAUUUCAUUUUGUUGUGUUUUCAAAAAGUUAUGGUGCUGUAUAGGUGCUUUCUGUUUAACCUGGAAAGUGUGAUUAUAUUCGUUACCUUCUUUGGUAGACGGAAUAGUUGGGACCACCUUUGGUACAUAUGAAAUUGGUAUAACGAUGCUCUGAUUAGCACA
rnacentral:lncRNA from 1 species